rnacentral:rRNA from 1 species
UGGGGAAUAUUGCACAAUGGGGGAAACCCUGAUGCAGCGACGCCGCGUGGAGGAAGAAGGUCUUCGGAUUGUAAACUCCUGUUGUUGAGGAAGAUAAUGACGGUACUCNACNAGGAAGUGACGGCUAACUACGUGCCAGCAGCCGCGGUAAAACGUAGGUCNCAAGCGUUGUCCGGAAUUACUGGGUGUAAAGGGAGCGCAGGCGGGAAGACAAGUUGGAAGUGAAAUCCAUGGGCUCAACCCAUGAACUGCUUUCAAAACUGUUUUUCUUGAGUAGUGCAGAGGUAGGCGGAAUUCCCGGUGUAGCGGUGGAAUGCGUAGAUAUCGGGAGGAACACCAGUGGCGAAGGCGGCNUACUGGGCACCAACUGACGCUGAGGCUCGAAAGUGUGGGUAGCAAACAGGAUUAGAUACCCUGGUAGUCCACACUGUAAACGAUGAUUACUAGGUGUUGGAGGAUUGACCCCUUCAGUGCCGCAGUUAACACAAUAAGUAAUCCACCUGGGGAGUACGACCNCCAGGUUGAAACUC